UCCGUAAGGAUGAGUAUAGUGGCGAACUGGUGAGCAACGCGUGGGAAUCUGCCCUUUAGUGAAGAAUACCUUCGAGAAAUUGGAGCUAAUGCUGCAUAAGCCCCGAAAGGGGGAAAGAUGGCCUUUAAGCUAUCGCUGAAGGAUGAGCCUGCGUACUAUUAGUUAGUUGGUGGGGUAAUGGCCUACCAAGACAAAGAUGGUUAGCCGGCCUGAGAGGGUGUACGGCCACAUUGGGACUGAGAUACGGCCCAGACUCCUACGGGAGGCAGCAGUGGGGAAUAUUGCACAAUGGGCGAAAGCCUGAUGCAGCGACGCCGCGUGGAGGAUGAAGGUUUUCGAAUUGUAAACUCCUGUUAAGUGGGAAGAAAUAUCAGUGCUGAAUAAGUACUGAUGAUGACGGUACCACUAGAGAAAGCACCGGCAAACUUCGUGCCAGCAGCCGCGGUAAUACGAAGGGUGCAAGCGUUAUUCGGAGUUACUGGGCGUAAAGAGCGCGUAGGCGGUUUAUUAAGUCAUUUGUUAAAUCUCCCGGCUUAACCGGGAACAUGCACGUGAUACUGGUAAACUAGAGUGUAAGAGAGAGAAGUGGAAUUCUCGGAGUAGCGGUAAAAUGCGUAGAUCUCGAGAGGAACACCAGAGGCGAAGGCGGCUUCUUAGCUUACAACUGACGCUCAAGUGCGAAAGCGUGGGGAGCAAACAGGAUUAGAUACCCUGGUAGUCCACGCUGUGAACGAUGAUCACUGGAUAUGGGCUUUGCUUAGCAAGGUCUGUGUCGAAGCUAACGCGUUAAGUGAUCCGCCUGAGUAGUACGGUCGCAAGAUUAAAACUCAAAGAAAUUGACGGGGGUCCGCACAAGCGGUGGAACAUGUGGUUUAAUUCGACACUACGCGAGGAACCUUACCUGGGCUUGACAUGUAACUGCAAUUGGUAGAGACACUGAGUUUUGUAGAAAUACAAACGGUUACACAGGUGCUGCAUGGCUGUCGUCAGCUCGUGUCGUGAGAUGUUGGGUUAAGUCCUUUAACGAGCGCAACCCUUGCCAUCAGUUGCUAAGUUGGAAACAACAGCACUCUGGUGGGACUGCCUGGGAAACCAGGAGGAAGGUGGGGAUGACGUCAAGUCCGCAUGGCCCUUAUGUCCAGGGCGACACACGUGUUACAAUGGCUAGUACAAAGGGAAGCGAAGCCGCGAGGUGAAGCAAAUCUCAUAAAACUAGUCUAAGUUGGGAUUGAAGUCUGCAACUCGACUUCAUGAACCUGAAAUCGCUAGUAAUCGCAUAUCAGAACGAUGCGGUGAAUACGUUCUCGGACCUUGUACACACCGCCCGUCACACCACGAAGCC
rnacentral:rRNA from 1 species